CGAGUACAGGCUAUUUUCUUUCCCAUCUGCAUUAUGAUGCCAUCAUAUUUAAUGCACGUAGUUAACAGAAAGCUGAAAAUACCGCGCUGCUGGGCGAGCGGACCGGACUGACCUCGUCCCUCAGUGUUUUAGGUGGUUUCCAGGUGGUUGGUGGUUGCUAAAGUUCCUAGGGUUUUAGUUGGUUGCUAAUGCUUUCUGGGUGAAUCCCAAACAGGAAUUGAAUGGAUACCUGGGCUGAGCGGGUAGAGUUCAUUGUCUCCUCCAUAGGACAGGUUACGAGACAACAAACGUGGGUCGAUCUUGGGAGGUGUGGCGGC